CGGGCGGCGGGAAACGGGCGGCGCGCGCUCGCUGAGGGCUGAGGCGGGCUCGGCCCUGAGGGGAGCAGCGGCGGGACGGGAGCAGGAACGGAACGAACGCGAGAUCCUUUUCCAAGGUAUCAAAUGGUUUCUUGAACCGUGGAUUCCAGCAGUGGAUUCAAGCAUGGGACUGUCCUUUUCCUGUACAGACAGAUGUCAGAUGAUCAUAUCUAUCUGUGCAAUUAAUUGCCAAUUCAGCUGAUUCUUCAUUGGGAUCCUCACAGGCAUUUCAGAAUUGCUGUUCCCACUUCAAAACCAGGAAUAUCUUAUAAGGAGCAAGCAAACGGGAAGCCAGCUAUUUGACAGUAAAAACAUUUUCAACUUGUGUUUUCUUGUGACUCAGGCUAGAUAUACCACACAAAUUAAAAGCUUGGCCACAUACAUAAGACAUCUGUUACCAGGAAUGACCAGCAGGUCACCUGGAAUUUUCCACAGAAAGUGAAUUUCAUUUUGUUUCAGAGGUGAAUUACAGAUUUCCAUAGCAAAGCAAUACUGUAGGAAAAAUUAAAACAGAUUUUGAUUAGGAUUGACUUCUGGUGGUAGCCAGCCUAUUGUUUACAGGGCAAAGUGCAACAGGGCAUCAAAUUAUUCUCUGGAAUUAUAUGAAGACAGAUAUUAAAGAGCUGUUUCUUUUUUGCAAUGUUGAGAUAAAUAUACAAAGAGUAAUGUCAGCCAUGGAAAUUUUCUGAGAACAACAAAAAUAAAAUCUUUUAUUGUAAUUAA